CUUACGGCGGUCUGGUCCAUCCGUUUGCCACUGAAAAUUCAGAUCUUUAUGUGGCAAUGGAUUCGCGGUAGGAUGUCGUCUGGGGUGGAGGUCCGCAAACGCAAUGGACCUGGGUCCGGCCUUUGCCCCCUGUGCGGUACCCCCGAAGACUCGAAUCACAUCUUCUUCUCCUGUGUCUCAGCUCAAUUCUUGUGGAGCUGCUUUAGGAAAAUUGUGGGAGGCGAUUGGUGCCACACCAACUUCCCCGACCUCUUUGCCGAACUCCAAAACUCCCCUUCCCCUUCUCGCCACAUUAGGUGGCUCGAGAUUGGGGUUCUUGCAUGGACCCUUUGGACGAUUCACAAUAAGCUUGUGAUCCAGCGUGUUCCUCUUCGACGGGCUACUGACGCUCUCUUCAAACUGUCUGGUUACUUGCAGCUAUGGCGGCCGCUUAGCCGCCCUCAGGACCGCGACGCCAUCACCGCCUUCAUCGCCGACCUCCGCUCGAUGGCCGUCCGUCUAUCGCCGCCGCCCCCUCCGCCACCCCCGGAGCCGGAUUAG
rnacentral:rRNA from 1 species